rnacentral:rRNA from 1 species
GAUGAACGCUAGCUACAGGCUUAACACAUGCAAGUCGAGGGGCAGCACUAGGUAGCAAUACUGAGGUGGCGACCGGCGCACGGGUGCGUAACGCGUUAUCCAACCUUCCCGUUACUCUUGGAUAGCCUUCCGAAAGGGAGAUUAAUACAAGAUGGUAUUCAAAUUCCGCAUGUUAUUUCAACUAAAGAUUUAUCGGUAACGGAUGGGGAUGCGUGACAUUAGGUAGAUGGCGGGGUAACGGCCCACCAUGCCUACGAUGUCUAGGGGUUCUGAGAGGAAGGUCCCCCACACUGGAACUGAGACACGGUCCAGACUCCUACGGGAGGCAGCAGUGAGGAAUAUUGGUCAAUGGUCGGAAGACUGAACCAGCCAAGUAGCGUGAAGGAUUACAGCCCUACGGGUUGUAAACUUCUUUUGUUUGGGAAUAAAUGAUACUACGUGUAGUAUUUUGCAUGUACCUUACGAAUAAGCAUCGGCUAAUUCCGUG